rnacentral:rRNA from 1 species
GUAGGGGGGCGAGCGUUGUCCGGAUUUAUUGGGGGGCGUAAAGGGGCUCGUAGGGCGGGCUUAACAGGGUCGGGCCGUGAAAACCCAGGGCUCAACCCUGGGACGCCGGUCGAUACUGUUAUGGCUAGGGUCCGGUAGAGGAGAAUGGAAUUCCCGGUGUAGCGGUGAAAUGCGCAGAUAUCGGGAGGAACACCAGUAGCGAAGGCGGUUCUCUGGGCCGGUACCGACGCUGAGGAGCGAAAGCGUGGGGAGCAAACAGGAUUAGAUACCCUGGUAGUCCACGCCGUAAACGGUGGGUACUAGGUGUGGCGUCUUUAUCAACGGAUGCCGUGCCGAAGCUAACGCAUUAAGUACCCCGCCUGGGGAGUACGGCCGCAAGGCUA